rnacentral:lncRNA from 1 species
AGAGGACUCAUAAUCAAGGGCAAUAAACUAGAUCCAUAGCAGUUUAAUGGUUCAAAGGGAUGGGAGCUGUUUAUGUCAGUCCUGUCACUUCUUGAAAAUGGAUAAGGCUCCAAAAAAGAAGAGAAGAGCGGGUAUAGCGCUUCCUGGUUUCCAUGAGAUGGCAUUCAGUGCUGGGGGUUGGGUUUGGAGACACAGAAGCGGGUAGGUGCCUGAUCCUGAGUGUGCACGGGCACAUCGUAGGGAUCUUCUGGAGAUGCCGAAUGCGUUUGCGCCUCUUGGGAAGCUGCAUUUGUAGAGUAAUCCUGGAAAACAUACAAAUCAGGCACCUAAAUAUGUGCCGCAGAUGCAGGACUAAGAAUCCGAGUUUCUUGGAAAGCCGACAGUUCAGCAUCACCCACGCGGCGCUCGCUGCAUGGAUGAACAAAGCAGCUGCUGAAGCUCUCGUUUUCCCCAAAUGA